rnacentral:rRNA from 1 species
GACGAACGCUGGCGGCGUGCUUAACACAUGCAAGUCGAACGAAGAGCGAUGGAAGUUUGCUUCUAUCAAUCUUAGUGGCGAACGGGUGAGUAACGCGUAAUCAACCUGUCCUUCAGAGGGGGACAACAGGGGGAAACGACUUCUAAUACCGCAUACGAUCUAAUCUCGGCAUCGAGGAUAGAUGAAAGGUGGCCCCUACAUGUAAGCUAUCACCGAAGGAGGUGAGUGCGUCUGAUUGGCUCGUUGGAGGGGAAACGGCCCACCAAGGCGAUGAUCAGUAGCCGGCCUGAGAGGGUGGACGGCCACAUUGGGACUGAGACACGGCCCAGACUCCUACGGGAGGCAGCAGUGGGGAAUCUUCCGCAAUGGACGGAAGUCUGACCGAGCAACGCCGCGUGAGCGAUGACGGCCUUCGGGUUGUAAAGCUCUGUUAAUCGGGACGAAAGGCCUUCUUGCGAAUAGUGAGAAGGAUUGACGGUACCGGAAUAGAAAGCCACGGCUAACUACGUG